GUCCUCCCGUCCUGUGGGUAGGUCAUCCACGGUAAGACCUCCCAAAGGGAGGCGCCUACCCACACCCGAGAGGGUAUAGGGCGGGAAGGAGGA
rnacentral:ncRNA from 1 species